GUUAAACUCCUCCUUAAUG
rnacentral:tRNA from 1 species